rnacentral:rRNA from 1 species
GUAAGGAAUAUUGGACAAUGGACGCAAGUCUGAUCCAGCCAUGCCGCGUGAAGGAUUAAGGUCCUCUGGAUUGUAAACUUCUUUUAUAAGGGACGAAAAAAGGCUUUUCUAAGUCGUAUGACGGUACCUUAUGAAUAAGCACCGGCUAACUCCGUGCCAGCAGCCGCGGUAAUACGGAGGGUGCAAGCGUUAUCAGGAUUCACUGGGUUUAAAGGGUGCGUAGGCGGGCAGGUAAGUCAGUAGUGAAAUCCUAGAGCUGAACUCUAGAACUGCCAUUGACACUAUCUGUCUUGAAUAUUGUGGAAGUAAGCGGAAGAUGUCAUGUAGCUGUGAAAUACUUAGAUAUGACAUAGAACACCUAUUGCGAUGGUAGCUUACUACGCAUAUAUUGACGCUGGUGCACGAAAGCGAGGGUAUCAAACAGGAUUAGAUACCCGGGUAGUCC